AGGAAAGUGCACAUUUCAAAGACCAUCCCUUGAAUUGAAGUGAACUGAUCUCAUCACAUGCUCUACGGACACAGAGAGAAGUUGAGUGGAAUGCUCCGCUUGUUCUUCCUUUUACUGCGGAUGUGAAAAUGCUGCGCUUGUAUCUUGAUCAAAAGCAAGAAGAGUUCAAACAGAAACUAUCAGCAGAUGCUUCCUCCAAGAACUGGACACUUCUUGCAAAGGUGACUCUGGCUCAGACUAUCCUCUUCAAUCACAGAAGAGAAGGUGAGGUCUCAAAAAUGCCUCUAACAUCAUUUACCAGCAGAAGCACAUGACUUACACAAAGAUGUAAGCACUUUCAGAGCUUGAAAAGAAACUCUGCUAUCAUUUUACUUGCCUUGAAAUACAUGGAAAGCCAGGUCGAAAGGUUCCAGUUCUUUUAACACCUAUAAUGCAGAAAAAUAUGGAGCUUCUUGAAGAAAAAAGAGAAAAAUGUGGAAUUCCAUCUGAAAACAUUUACAUGUUUGCACGUCAUGCAGCACUAUCACACCGAAGGGGAUCGGAUUGUCUUCGUUAGUUUGCAACAGAAUGUGGAGCAAAGAAUCUAAAGGCACUUUCAUCUACAAAGCUCCGUAAACACAUAGCAACACUGUCAAAUGUUCUGAACCUCAAUAAUACAGAAUUGGAUCAGCUGGCUGACUUUUUAGGGCACGAUGUGAGAGUACACAGAGAAUAUUACAGACUUCCUGAAGGCACUCUCCAGCCGGCCAAGACAAGCAAAAUUUUGAUGGCUUUAGAGACAGGAAGACUUGGGGAGUUCAGUGGAAAAAACCUAGAUGAAAUUGACAUUGAUCCAAAUGGUGUGUUGAAUGGAGUUCAUGUAGUAAUUGUAGGCAACUGGACAUGUAAUGAACAACAUAAGGAUAAACAGUCAUAUUAUCAUUUUUGUUUUAAUAGAAGCAGUACUUGUUCAGAGUUCAGAUUUGUCAAGGGAUCUGUCAGGAACAGAGGAUGAAUUAGAUGAAGAUCUUGGAGCAGAACUGGACUUAGAACCAUCUACAAAGCCAGCCCAGGAAACUUGAGCUGAGAAAGCAACAGAACCACAUCAGUUCCCAGAGGUGUUAAGGUGGUUAAGAAAAAGAAAUAGGAGACCAGUGAAGUGAAAGCGGUUGAAAAACAUCUGUACAGGUUCAUCAAAUCUUGCAUAGUGCGAGGAAAAAGACAUUGUGAGGUAUAAAAGCUGAACCUGUUGCACUGAAACACAGGGAUUGGUUCUGUCACGUUCUUUGUGAAGAACAGAAUCACUGCUCUUAAAAGGAAACUGUAAUCCAGAAAUGUUUUUUGCAUGGUUUCAAUUGGUUUUAUUUGCACAGAUUUUUUUGUUGUUUUUUUAUUAUUUAUUUUUGUUUAUUUUUAUUACAGCAGAAAAAUGUUAUUUUAUUGUAUGGUUUUAUUGAUGCACAUUUAGUUUUUUUUUUUUAUAUAUUUUUUAUAAAUUUUUGACUGGAACUUUUGAGUGUUAAGUACUUAAUUUCAAGGCAAUUACUAAUGAUCUGUGCAAAAAUACUGAAUUGCAAAUGGCAAAACUGAGUUUAAAAAGAAAUAAAUAAAAGGCCUGUUAUUCAUGUGACGUAAUCAAUUAUCUUGUCUUAAAAAUAUGCACUAUAGCAGCAUCCUGGUUGUGUGUAAAAUUCGUCCCCAGAUUGUUCAAGUACCUACAUUGUAGAAAUACCAGAAAAGUUCUGUGUGUGUGUCUGCUGGUCUUCACAAGUUUGGACUAGCAGAAAUUGUCCCCAGAAUGUGGGAAAAUGUCACAUUGCUUUAUUAAUGUAUUUUCUUUAAUUUAAAGUGACAGGUGUCUUUAUGGGUCCCCACAUUGCAGGAUCCAGCGUGUAGUCCCUGGAAUGUGCUUAGACAUGUGUGUGUGUGUGUGUGUGUGUGUGUAUCUGAAUGUCACAGUAUGUCCUCUUCUCUCUGACAGAAAUUUUCUUUGGCAAUGUUGAACUGGGUGAGUCACUGAUCUUUACCUCUCUGUCACACACACACACACACACACACACACUCUCACACUCUCACACACACACACACACUCUCACUGCAGAGCUGACAGAUGUCCUAAACCUGAAGGUUACAGAUCAUUAACACCUGACCUCUCAUUUUCAGUUUUAACAGUAAAAUGAAAAUCAGAAUUUCUGCUAAAAUAACAUUGAACAGAAAAAAGAUCUUCAGGAGCUUUAAUGUUUGAGAACCAACACUUGGGUUGAAAGGAAAUAAUUAUCAAAUUGUUCCUAAAACACGCUUUUGAGGCCCUGAUGAUGCAUUUCCAUGCAAACGCAGAUCAGUUUCACUGCAGCUGGUUUUAUUAGUGCCUGAAUAAAUUUAUAAUAAAAUGCAUCAUAGUUCUAACAUGCUUCUGUGCAUUUAUAUGUGAUAUUUGUAUUUGAGGAUAAAGUGACUUGUGCGUGGAUCACUUUAAUGUGCUGUUGAUUUACGUGCAAUUUCACCACCCAAUGAUAAACCUUGCAGAAAAUCCAAUUAAUUAGCUUUAUUCUCCAUCCAUUAAAUGAAUAAUUCAUAAAAAAACGUCUUACAGGUUAAAGUAACUCGCACACGGUUCUCUUUUGCAAUAAGAAUUUCUUCCACAAUGUAAAACAUGUUCGGUAUCCGUGCAUUAAAUCAG